CAUAACAAAACAAUGUGUGUUGUUUGUUUUGUGUUAUUUAAAAAAAAAAAAAUCAAAUCCAUUUGGUACAUAUUUUGCAUCCCGAUCAACACUCCGUUCCGGUAGGUGGCGCUUACGCAGAAGAAGAAAAAGAAAAAGCGGACGAAGACGUUUGCUACUGGAGAUGUCAACACUUGACCCAUGUUGCUCAUGAGCACUUUUAGCUAGGUCAUUCAAUGACAUAUGAGUAGAGAAUAGACCUAUUUAGAGACGAAGUGACUAGAUGCGAAUCAUUUGUGGGGAUUAGCAAACUACACGCAGACAGUUCAAGGAAAUAGACAUAUAAUCAAGUAGCCUACGCACAAGAAUUACCUUUGACAUUUGGCGUCUUUCAUCGCAGAGAAUGUUUGGGCCCAUGGGAAUCCAGCUGGGCUCUAAGGGUGUCAUGAAGCGGUUUGCCAGGACCUCCACCUGGACUACAGCAGGAAGAUGAACUCUGCUGGCUCCCAUCUGCCCACCACUCCACCACUGGAAUGGUUCUCUGGCUCUGUUGGGCUCUUGGCCUCAUCAGCUGACUGAAGAUUGGCCAGAUGGCGUUAUCUAUGGACCAAUCGGGCACCUGGAUCCAUACCUCAUCCCACAGAAUGGACGCUUCAUCUUUCUUACUGCAGCUGAAAGUUUUUUCUACCAGCUUUGCCCAUGGAGAGGUUGACAUUUCUGCCCAUUAUUUUUGCAUAAAAGCUCAAACUCUGUGAGAUUGAAAAGUGUGUGUCACAUCAGUUUUCAAGUCUUGCCAAAGUUUUUGUAUUAUUACUUUAAAUUUUUUUUUUAUUUUUAUUUUUUUUAGGUUUAGGUUAAGGAUUUAACUGGACCCUUCUUGAAUAGCCAUGUAUUGAGCUCAUUGACGCUACUGCAGCUCUGAUUGUAUUUUUACGCUCAGUUUCAAGUCUUGGUCUGUAAUAGAUUGUCUUGUGUUUUGCUCCAUCCACUUUCUCAACUCUGACCAGUUUUACUGUCCCUGCUAAGGAAUAGCAUCCCCACAUCAUGACACUGCCACUACCUUGUGUUCAGCUUGGUUGAUUUUAUUCAAGUCCUGGAGUAGUGGUUUUUCCCACACAUUGUCUUUUUCAUGUUGGCCGAAUGUUCAAUCUUGAUCUUCAUCAAGCUAAAGGGUCUUCUUCUAGACUACACAACUUGUUUUUGGAAUAAAAUACUUUGUUUAAACCCUCUCCACUUUUGCUGAAUAUUGUUUGAGAUGAUUCUUCUACAUGAAUCAACAGUACUCGGAAAGGAAAAGAAAAGCAAAAUAUUCAGCUUUCGAAUGGAAAUUUAAUAACAGAGUAAAAUUUUAAAUUUUUCUGAAAAUGCUUUCUGCACACACUGGGAGUUUUAAGUUGCGCAAACUAAUUUGACAUAUUUUUGUACUCUAGGAGUAAACUAAAGUAACCAGGAUGAGUCCAGGCAGGAAUAAUGUCCAGUUUACCAUUUAGAGCUCACUGUAUUGCUCUCAUUCAACUUGCUCUUCUUCCUCCUCUGGCGUUGCACCACUCGACCUAUCCUUUGGUUAUUUGACACUGCAGGAGACGCCAGGCAUUCAGGGCAUUCUUUGUCCCUGGAGAGGAAAGGGGGAGAACGGGGCUGAGACAGCGAUGGGUUGGGGUGCAGGAGGUGAGACAAUGUGAGGGGUUCCACUCUGUUCAGGCUCACUAAGACCUACUUUAAGCACAUGCACAUCUUAUGCCCAGCUCAUGAAAGAGGCGGGGUCAAAGGCAGCAGGGCAGUCUGGAUUUAGAGGAGAGGAAAAUAGAAACUGCACUAGACCACUACCACCACCGUCUAACUUCAACCCCCCAAUUCAAGGUUUCAGAGAUGCCAGCAUGCCCUCUUUCAAUUAGAGAGAGGAGGGGGGCAAAAACGCACUUCUCUUCACAAAGCCAACCAUAAUGUCACUAUGUUCCUACAACUUUUCCAUUUGAAAAUUACAUAUGUUCCCUGACUAAUUUGGAUUUUACUAUUUCUAUUUAUGUGACGUUUGACAUUUUAUUCUAUUUAUUCUAUUAUUUAUACUUUUAAUGUGUUGCUUAAAAAAUAAUUUUAGAUAUCUUUCUGAAUAGAUACUUGGAAUUACCUUGUGAAUGAUGGUGAAUCCUUGAUAUAAAUCAAGGAUUCACCUUUUAUUGCAUUGAUAUAAAUCAAUGCAAGCUAUCCUUGCAUUGAUUUAUAUUUUUUCUUAGAUUUGCUCCACAGCAUCAAAUAUAUGGGUUUUUAAAAAUACAUCCCUUUUUCUCUGGUUGGAAAGAUGCUUGCCGCUUAUUCAGAGAUGCUGUUUGGUCAAAAUUAGGUCAAAAACAAAUACUGUAUGUACAAGCCUAUUUCUUGAGAUUUAAAUAAGAAAAUAAGACGUCACCGGGUAAUUAACAAAGCAACAUCUCUCUCAGAUUUGCUUAGCAUGUUCAGCUGAAGACUUGACAUGAGAAACUUCUAUUUUUCAGUAACCAUGUCCAAUUUGCAUGUCAAAUUCUGAGGCAAUGGGUGUAAAAAAAAAGAUCUGGUGAGACAAACUCAGUUUGCAAAAUUCUGAUCAUAAAGAAGCAAUACAUAAAAUCUGUGGGUUUUAAAUGAGCGAUAAAAACAACAAUCUUGUUUGGGACUAAUUAGUGUGUCUCUUUUUGAAAAAUUUGGAUUUGAAGCACUGAAUUUAUUUGGAUUGAUAGUAAAUUAUAGGAAUGAGGCAAAACUAAUCCACAGUGUUCACAGGAUAAAGUCUAAACUUUUGUAUCCUGAUGCAAGUUUCAUUAUUACGUUCUUUUUUCUCUUUUCCAGUAUGUUCCAGGACUAUAAAUUAUUUCCAGAGCAGUGAACUUUUUACUAAUGAUAUGGCAGUCAUCUUGGCUAUUUAGACAGCUCUGUACAUUAAGUAAUUAAUAAAUUAAUAAGUAAUUCAAGUUAUCUCUGUAUAUUAAAUAAGGAAGGAGACAAAUGUCCACAAUUAUUAUAGAAAAGUAAAAGAAGAAAUCAACAAAUCUUUUUGAAAAGAAGAAAAUGCUCAAAUAGGGGACAGAAAUGUGCCUGUAGAAUGUAAAAAUACUUCAGCAUUAAAUAAUGCCAUCCCUAAUGGUCUUUUAAAGACAUGGUUUAAACAGCAAUCAUGAAUAUAGGCUACGUCAACCAGCCGCAGCUUCAACUGAGAUAUCCAAUGUUGCUUUGUGGCUUAAACAUUACUUCCACAGCCAGAAAAACAGAAUAACUAGUUUUUAAUCUGAUUGGAAUUUUAACAUUUUUCCAGACUGGUGCAGUGCUGUUUUGUAUUCAUUACAAAAAGAAAAACCUUUACUGCAAAUUACGUUUUCCUUAAAGGAAUAAUUAACAAAUUUGACAUUAGAACAUUUUUAUUGGGUGGCAAAUAAAGAUGGUAAUAACCUUCCCUCACAUAUGCAGUUAAUGCUCCGUUGUUGUUUUAUUUGAAGCUGACGGUAAUGUUUGAAAGUAAAGAUUUAAUAUUGGCUCAUAAAGUGCAAAGUUGUUCACCUUAGUUGCUUCACUCAUGUACUGCAAUUUGGUUGGUAUGUGUUAAAUCAUCACAGGAUUUUGGAUUUUACUAUUUCUAUUCAUGUGAUGUUUGACAUUUUAUUCUACUACUUUUACUGCAAAUUAGUUUUUCCUAAUUUAACUCAUUAAUUUGAGUUAAAUUAUUUACCAUAAUAAACAUGCUGUGUUUUCUAGCAAAUACUAUUUGCUGUGUGUAUGCACACCUUUCACAAGACCUGUUGGGCCAGAAGGAACCUUAUCAUGUUGAUGUUGACCCUCCACUGCCUAGAACUCUGACUUGACAAGGUUGAUCCACAGCGUUGAUCAACCUUAUUGUCAGCUUGAUUUGUUCAUUCCGAAAUCUAAUGUAACCAUGAAAGUUAGUAGUUUCUCUGUAACUUACUGAGUGAAUUAUAGUCACAUUUUUGUCUGGGUGUGUGUAAUAUAUUUGAAAUCUGAAUAGGUAAUUUUUUUAAUUAAUGUGGAGCACAGGAAAGAUUUGCUUAAUACAAAAUUCAGCUCCCAAUUCAGUUUUUUUCUCUUUUACAAAGUAAAAAUGUAUGCUGUUUAACUUGUGCAACCAUUACACACAGACCGCAAAAGUUUUGAUACAUUAAUUAAAGGCAGAGGUCAAAAUUACAAUAUUCAGUUUUCUACCCUUACAAAACUGUUUUAUCAUUUUGAAAAAAAAAAAAAUAAUAAAA